rnacentral:rRNA from 1 species
GACGGAGGAUGCAAGCGUUAUCCGGAAUGAUUGGGCGUAAAGCGUCCGCAGGCGGCAGUUCAAGUCUGCUGUCAAAGACCGGGGCUUAACUUCGGAAAGGCAGUGGAAACUGAACAGCUAGAGUAUGGUAGGGGCAGAGGGAAUUCCUGGUGUAGCGGUGAAAUGCGUAGAGAUCAGGAAGAACAUCGGUGGCGAAGGCGCUCUGCUGGACCAUAACUGACACUGAGACGCGAAAGCGUGGGGAGCAAACAGG